rnacentral:rRNA from 1 species
AAAAACAUGUCUUUUUGAAAAUAAUUUAAAGUCAAAUCUGCCCACUGAAUUAAUUUUAAAGGGCUGCAGUAUAUUGACUGUACAAAGGUAGCAUAAUCAUUAGUCUUUUAAUUGAAGACUUGUAUGAAUGAUUUGAUGAGAUAUGAACUGUCUCUUUAUUAAAAAUAAAAUUUAAUUUUUUAGUUAAAAAGCUAAAAUUUAUAUAAAAGACGAGAAGACCCUAUAGAGUUUAAUAUUUUUAAAAAAUUAAAUUUUAUAUAAAUUUUUAAAUUUAAUUUUUUAAAAAUAUUUUGUUGGGGUGAUAGAAAAAUUUAAUAAACUUUUUUUAAAAAUUAUACAUUGAUUUAUGAAUUUUUGAUCCAUAAUUUAUGAUUAUAAGAAUAAAUUACCUUAGGGAUAACAGCGUAAUUUUUUUUUUUAGUUCAAAUAAAAAUUAAAGUUUGCGACCUCGAUGUUGGAUUAAGAUAAAAUUUAAAUGCAAAAGUUUAAAAUUUUGAUCUGUUCGAUCAUUAAAAUCUUACAUGAUCUGAGC